UGUACACAAAAAAUUAUGAGACCUCGA
rnacentral:piRNA from 1 species